UCGGGAAUUUUGCGCAAUGGGCGAAAGCCUGACGCAGCAACGCCGCGUGAGGGAUGAAGGCCUUCGGGUUGUAAACCUCUUUUCUCAGGGACGAUAAUGACGGUACCUGAGGAAUAAGCCACGGCUAACUACGUGCCAGCAGCCGCGGUAAUACGUAGGUGGCGAGCGUUGUCCGGAUUUACUGGGCGUAAAGAGCGCGCAGGCGGUCGUGCAAGUCGCGUGUGAAAGCCCCCGGCUCAACUAGGGAGGGUCACGCGAUACUGCUCGACUCGAAGGCAGGAGAGGGAAGUGGAAUUCCCGGUGUAGUGGUGAAAUGCGUAGAUAUCGGGAGGAACACCAGUGGCGAAGGCGACUUCCUGGCCUGUUCUUGACGCUGAGGCGCGAAAGCUAGGGUAGCAAA
rnacentral:rRNA from 1 species